rnacentral:hammerhead_ribozyme from 1 species
AUCCAGCUGACGAGCCCCAAAUAGGACGUAACGCUCGUCCUGGAU